GCAGAGCACUCUACGGGAGGCAGCAGUGGGGAAUAUUGCACAAUGGGGCGCAAGCCUGAUGCAGCCAUGCCGCGUGUAUGAAGAAGGCCUUCGGGUUGUAAAGUACUUUCAGUCAGUGAGGAAGGUUGGGUAUGUUAAUAGCAUAUUCAUUUGACGUUAGCUGCAGAAGAAGCACCGGCUAACUCCGUGCCAGCAGCCGCGGUAAUACGGAGGGUGCGAGCGUUAAUCGGAAUUACUGGGCGUAAAAGCGCAUGCAGGUGGUUUGUUAAGUCAGAUGUGAAAGCCCGGGGCUCAACCUCGGAAUUGCAUUUGAAACUGGCAAACUAGAGUACUGUAGAGGGGGUAGAAUUUCAGGUGUAGCGGUGAAAUGCGUAGAGAUCUGAAGGAAUACCGGUGGCGAAGGCGGCCCCCUGGACAGAUACUGACACUCAGAUGCGAAAGCGUGGGGAGACAAACAGGAUUAGAUACCCUGGUAG
rnacentral:rRNA from 1 species